rnacentral:snoRNA from 1 species
UGAUGUUGUGAUGAUAGACAAUGUUCAACUGCUCUGAAUGGGCUGAGUGAAAUAGCCUUUCUGAACAUCA